GGUUGUAGCUCAGUGGUAAAGUGCUCGCCUAGCACAUGGGAGGCCCUGGGUUCAAUCCUCAGCACCA
rnacentral:tRNA from 1 species